rnacentral:rRNA from 1 species
UCCAUGCAUGUCUAAGUUCAAAUGGCCUAUAAAGGUGAAACCGCGAACGGCUCAUUACAACAGCUAUUAUAUACUUGAUCUUGAUAUCCUACGUGGAUAACUGUGGUAAUUCUAGAGCUAAUACAUGCACCAAAGCUCCGAUUUUCUGACGAGCGCAUCUAUUAGAUUAAAACCAAUCGGGUUUCGGCCCGUCAAUUGGUGACUCUGAAUAACUAUAGCA